GAAUGCUGACAUAAGUAACGAUAAAGCGGGUGAAAAGCCCGCUCGCCGGAAGACCAAGGGUUCCUGUCCAACGUUAAUCGGGGCAGGGUGAGUCGACCCCUAAGGCGAGGCCGAAAGGCGUAGUCGAUGGGAAACAGGUUAAUAUUCCUGUACUUGGUGUUACUGCGAAGGGGGGACGGAGAAGGCUAUGUCAGCCGGGCGACGGUUGUCCCGGUUUAAGCAUGUAGGCGGAGGUUCCAGGUAAAUCCGGUACCUU
rnacentral:rRNA from 1 species